GGAUGGUUCUCCUGUGGUCCUGUAUCAAUGCUAUCAGAGCCGACCACCGCUCCUAGCACCACAUGUGACCGAUGGAGGUGACGCCGGUGCUCGUCCGGGGCUAGGAACCUUCUCUCUUUGCCUAGCGCAAAGCCUGCCACAUGAGGGCAUGUGGCUGCGAAGAGGGGUGGUAUGUUACGGUCCAUUGUAAGGUAUGGGACUUAAGUCCCACAUUGGUCAUAUGGGUGGCUGAUGUGGGGUUUAUAUAGGAUCAUGGGCUCUCCUCCCCUUGAGCUAGCUUUUGGGGAUGGUUCUCCUGUGUUCCUGUAUCAGUCAUGAACUUAAUCUUGUUGGUUUUUUUCAUCUGGGUAGUUUUUAAUUGUUGUUUUUAGGUUUUGAUUUAAUAUAUGAUGUUUGUUUGAUAAUUCACACGGGGUUUGUUGAUUGUUGCAAUAUCAAGGUUCUGCUUGAGUUUCCUCAACCUGUACUCUUUCUCCUGUCUUUGUGUUAUGUUGAUUUUAUUUGACAAUUUCUAGGUUCAGUGCUUGCCAAUUAUCGUUCAGUGCUCACCUUCUCAUUCGGUUCCCCUUUCGUUUGUAAUUAUUCCUCUCUCCUCCCAUAUGUUUCAAUUUUUUUUUCUCACUCGCAGAUCUUGUUCUUCCAUUAUUAUUGGAAUUUGCAUCUUCCACCAUAUGGUUUCUAUCUUCACGGAGGUUCAUGGUUCAAUUGGAUGUAAGGCCAUCACAUAGACUCUCCUUGACUCUAUGAGGACGGGAGUAUCUUUGGAUGCAUUGGGGUCAUGAUGACGAGGAGUUAAAAUAUGAUCAUCUUGCUUUGGGGUUAAAGAGAGCUCUAGAGCAUGAAAGAUAUGCCUUCGAUGCAGAUCAUCUACAAAAUUACACAGGCCCUGAACUACAAUAGAUGUUAUUGCUUCUAGAAUAUUUUGAGGCCACUUCAUUUAGAAUAUGAACGAGUUCGCCUACUUCAUAAGAAUCUUGCUGAAUAAAAAUGAGAAAUACUGAUCUAUUCAUGACCUCGGGAUAUAGGUCGAUUCUCUAUCAAACAAAAGUGUUAAUACUCCUCCAGAAUUCCAGGUUUACUUCUGCUCAACUUCUCUCAACCCCCUUCUACCCAAAUAAGUCAAUCAAUCUCCCAAAAAUCAGAUCUAUGUUCUAUAAACUUUCGCAGAUGGGAGAAUUAUGACAAUGCUAAUUUUUGUUGUAAACUAUGAUGAAACUAGAAGUCUUUCAGAUAGGAGAACUAAUAGUUGCCCAUACCGUAUGCAUCAAAACUCAAUCUGUUAGAGAACAACAAAUCUUUGAAUAUUUCUCUUACUAUAAAGCUGGUUUUUUGGAAAUAUUGAUUGGUGUUUUUGCUGACUUGUAGUUCAUGGGUUGGAGUGGUCGCCUUGAUUUUUUCAUUUCCUCAAUCACCACAUGCUAAUAGAAUUUAAGAUUUGGACAUACUUUCUUUGGUCUAGCACUGCUAUUAUAUUGAUUAAGGGGUAUCUUAUAAUUUCUAGCUUAAGGGUCGCCGACUUUCCGGGUGAAACAAAUCACUGUAUAAGUGAUUCCUUGGGUUAGGAUACUUUGGCAUUGUAUGCAGUGUGAUAUAUCUUUUCUGCUAUAGGGAUAUAUUUGUUGUUGAUUGAUAUUAGAAUAUUCAUUUAUAUGUUCCCUCAAGAUUUUAUGUUAAAUUAAUUUCGAUGAAUGUCCUUUAGAUGCUCAAAUUUUGUAUUAAAUUCAGAGUACUUACGUUUGGAGUUAUUGUGUAAAUAAUUUUCUUCAAGAUUUUAUGUUAAGUUAAUUUCGAUUAAAGUCCUUAUUUUUUUAUUGCUCUUGAUCAAGAAAUUGUUCUUGGAGGUGGUGCUCUUGAUUAAUCAUUUAAAACAAGCCGCAUAUCUAGUCAUGAUAACCAUCUAGUUUCACACUUGAGUCAUCUGAGGUUUGUUAGAGUAUUUUUGUUUUCUGUAGGAUGUGUAGGCAUGAGAGUUUUAAGUAUUGUUUAAAGGCUUUGAAGAUUUUUUGUUGGCAACCAACAAACAAAGAAGUUAAACCUACACCCUUGCUGCAGUUGCAAGCUUAUAUGGGCCUCUAACACUAUAUUUCACUUACCUUUUUACAACAGACCAAGCUAAAUUGCAAAAGAUACAAACUAAUAUCUUGAAGUUCAUGUUUUGGGAAAGUUCAUGUUUCACAAUGGCUCUUUAUUCAUUUGAGAGUGGAAACCUUGAGAGUAGAACUGAUUUGCAGUUCAGAACUGAAAGUGCCAAACAUCACAUAUUUAAAGUUCAGAACUGAAGGUGCCAGGAAAAGUAUGAAAUAAAACAGGGCAUGACACAUUUAACGGCAGGACAAUCAUGAAACGGGGCAUGGCACAAGACAAUCAAGAUGCGGCAGUGCACCCAGGUUCUAAUUUUUCUUUUAAUUAAACAAGGGAUUAGUGUAAUUAACUCCAAACCAUGGGGAAACAAUUAGCUAAUUCAGUGAAAGCAAGAUAGUUGAAGUAAACAAGAAUUAAGUUUGAAUGAAAAUAGCAAAGGUUUGCCAUUGUUUUAUUUUCAUCUGUCACUCUUUUCCAUUUUUGUCAACUUGCUUACUUCUUUGAUCAUUGCUUGUCACUUGAUUAAUUAGAGUUGUGAUGAAGUUUGAUUUUGUCCACUACACGAUCAACAUGUGUUACAUGCUCUAUUUUUUGGUUUAUUUACAUGUAACCAACAUUCUUCCAUUGAACAAAUAAUAGAUUUGGGGAGAACAAAACUCACCCUAAUGCUUUUUUCGUUAUUUUAUCUGACAUUUUAGCUAGUAUACUAACUUUUAACUUGUGAUUAAUCUCAAAAUUUUUACUUGCAGGUGCAAGGUGAGCUAAGUGGAGAAGAAAUAUAGUCAAUUAUCAAGUGAUAUAUAUGGACUUCGUGGCAGCAUCAUUUUAGCUUAUAGCUGCUAGCUUUUGAUAGUUUAAACAAUGUUAAAACUUUUUAUUUUGAGAAUAUUAUAUCCUGUUACAAAGACUUGUUGAUUUGAGUAUUUUAUUUUGAGUAUUUUGUAUUAUACAUAUAUACCCUAUGGGGAACAAAUAUAUUUUAUUAUUGAUUUCAUAUCAA